rnacentral:lncRNA from 1 species
GGGCUUCUGAGGUGAAGUUUCUAACAGAGAGUCCUCCAGAUCUUCCUCUGCUACGCUAGGAAAGGUCAUUUGGACUGAGCUCUGCUGGUACUGCUUCCUGACUGGGUAGCUGAUAUCAUCAGCAAAGUAUUCCAAGAAGGAUCCUGUAAACGAAUGGCAACCCACUCUGAUCCGAUAGUCAGAAAUCAACUGAAUGCACCACUCGAUCUCUUGGCAGUAGUCUUUUUUGGCUUGGUCGAUCAGGUCCUGCUUUUCCUCACAGUCAAAGUGUUUCAGGUUCCGAAGAGAUACUGAGAAACUUUUCUUCUUGUCACUCGUAUCCCCCUCUAUGAAGAGCACGUUGGCCUUUCUGUGUUUUCUCUUCACAUUCUUC